AUUGAACGCUGGCGGCAUGCUUUACACAUGCAAGUCGAACGGUAACAGGUUAAGCUGACGAGUGGCGAACGGGUGAGUAAUGCAUCGGAACGUGCCCGGUCGUGGGGGAUAACGCAGCGAAAGCUGCGCUAAUACCGCAUACGAUCUGGGGAUGAAAGCGGGGGACCGUAAGGCCUCGCGCGAUCGGAGCGGCCGAUGGCAGAUUAGGUAGUUGGUGGGGUAAAGGCUCACCAAGCCGACGAUCUGUAGCUGGUCUGAGAGGACGACCAGCCAGACUGGGACUGGGACACGGCCCAGACUCCUACGGGAGGCAUCAGUGGGGAAUUUUGGACAAUGGGCGCAAGCCUGAUUCAGCAAUGCCGCGUGCAGGAAGAAGGCCUUCGGGUUGUAAACUGCUUUUGUACGGAGCGAAAAGGCUCUCUCUAAUACAGGGGGCUCAUGACGGUACCGUAAGAAUAAGCACCGGCUAACUACGUGCCAGCCGCCGCCGUAA
rnacentral:rRNA from 1 species